rnacentral:rRNA from 1 species
UACGUAGGGAGCAAGCGUUGUCCGGAAUCAUUGGGCGUAAAGCGCGCGUAGGCGGCCCCGUAAGUCCGCUGUGAAAGUCAAAGGCUCAACCUUUGAAAGCCGGUGGAUACUGUGGGGCUAGAGUACGGAAGAGGCGAGUGGAAUUCCUGGUGUAGCGGUGGAAUGCGCAGAUAUCAGGAGGAACACCAGUGGCGAAGGCAGCUCGCUGGGACGUGACUGACGCUGAGACGCGAAAGCGUGGGGAGCAAACAGG